rnacentral:rRNA from 1 species
GACGAACGCUGGCGGCGUGCCUAAUACAUGCAAGUAGAACGCUGAAGGAGGAGCUUGCUCUUCUGGAUGAGUUGCGAACGGGUGAGUAACGCGUAGGUAACCUGCCUGGUAGCGGGGGAUAACUAUUGGAAACGAUAGCUAACACCGCAUAAAAUUGAUUAUUGCAUGAUAGUCAAUUAAAAGGUGCAAUUGCAUCACUACCAGAUGGACCUGCGUUGUAUUAGCUAGUUGGUGAGGUAACGGCUCACCAAGGCAACGAUACAUAGCCGACCUGAGAGGGUGAUCGGCCACACUGGGACUGAGACACGGCCCAGACUCCUACGGGAGGCAGCAGUAGGGAAUCUUCGGCAAUGGACGGAAGUCUGACCGAGCAACGCCGCGUGAGUGAAGAAGGUUUUCGGAUCGUAAAGCUCUGUUGUAAGAGAAGAGCGAGUGUGAGAGUGGAAAGUUCACACUGUGACGGUAUCUUACCAGAAAGGGACGGCUAACUACGU